rnacentral:ncRNA from 12 species
AAAGGCAGAGGACGGAACAGGCAGCCGUCGCUCCUGACUUAAAUCAGGUCUUGUUAAGAGAUGUGGGAAUGUCACCCCACCUACUUUC